AUUUCAGAUUGGGAAUCAAGAUGGGAAAACAAGGAAUUAUCAACAAAGAAGGAUAUUUACGAUGAAGAUUCACCCCAAACAGUAACAAUAGAAAAAGUUGUAAAACGACGUUUUGAAUUUUCAAAUUCUAGUAAGAAUUUGGAAUAUAUAGAAUGCAACAAAUUUAGAAGCACCUUUCAUUCAAAGUCUACUCUUUCCGAACCACAAAACAAUUCUGCUGAAGGGAAUUCACACAAAUAUGAUAUAUUAAAGAAGAAUGUAUCACAAAAGUCAGUUAUAAAAAAUGAGAGAAUCAAUGGUGGAAAGAAGCUUUUGAAUUCUAAUAAAAGUGGGGCAGCCUUCAACCAGAGCAAAUCUCUUAUCCUUCCCCAGACUUGUAAUAGAGCUAAAAUCUAUACAUGCAGUGAAUGUGGGAAAGCCUUUGGCAAACAGUCAAUUCUCAAUCGCCAUUGGAGAAUUCAUACAGGAGAGAAGCCCUAUGAAUGUCGUGAAUGUGGGAAGACUUUUAGCCAUGGCUCAUCCCUUACACGGCAUCAGAUAAGUCAUAGUGGAGAGAAACCUUACAAAUGUGUUGAAUGUGGGAAGGCCUUUAGCCAUGGCUCAUCACUUACUAACCAUCAGAGCACUCACACUGGAGAGAAACCAUACGAAUGUAUGAAUUGUGGAAAGUCUUUUAGUCGUGUGUCCCUUCUCAUUCAGCAUCUAAGAAUUCAUACUCAAGAAAAACGCUAUGAGUGUCGUAUAUGUGGAAAGGCCUUCAUUCAUAGUUCAUCUCUCAUUCAUCAUCAGAAAAGCCAUACUGGAGAGAAACCUUAUGAAUGUAGAGAAUGUGGGAAAGCUUUCUGCUGUAGCUCACACCUUACUCAACAUCAAAGAAUUCACAGUGUAAAGAAAAAGUUUGAAUGCAACAAAUGUCUCAAAGUCUUUAGUAGCCUGUCAUUUCUUGUUCAACAUCAGAGUAUUCAUACUGAAGAAAAUCCUUUUGAAGUUUAGAAAUGCAGGAAAUCCUUCAACCAGCUUGAAUCACUGAAUGUGCAUUUGAGAAAUCACAUUAGAUUGAAACCCCAUGAAUGCAGUAUAUGUGGGAAAACCUUCAGUCAUAGGUCAUCCCUGCUUCAACAUCACAGAAUUCAUACUGGAGAGAAACCUUACGAAUGUAUUAAAUGUGGGAAGACCUUCAGCUGUAGUUCAAACCUUAUUGAACUACAUCAAAGAAUUCAUACUGGAGAAAAGCCAUAUAAAUGUAAUGAGUGUGGAAAAGCUUUUAGCAAAGGCUCAAAUCUUACUGCCCAUCAAAGAGUACAUAAUGGAGAGAAACCCAAUAAUAUGGUAAGUGUGGAAAAGCCUUUAGAUCAUAUGAAUCACUAUACAUGUAAGAAAUCUUACAGAAGAGAAACUAUUUGAAGCAGUGUUUAUCAUGGUAAACUUCAUAGAUCCUCCCUUAUUUAACAUCAGAAAAAAUUUAUACUGGGGAAAAGUUGUAUGAAUGUGGUGAAUAUGGGAGACUUUUAGCAAUGAUGCAGACAUUUUUAUUUAUCAGAGUUUAUACUGUAGAGAAAUCAUAUGAAGUCAAUAAAUGUGGGAAAGCCUUUGUCAGUAUUAAUCCCUUAAUUGACAUAAGUAUACUCACACUAGGAAAAAACUGUGUACGUGUAGCAAAUGUGGGAAAGACUAUAAGCAAUAGGAAUCUCCUACAAACUCCUACAGGAAAAAAGUUGUAUGAAUGUGGAAAAUUUAGAAAUUGAAGGAAUUCUUCAGUUCCAAGUGCAUCCCUUAUUCUACAGGAAAUAAACUGGAGAGAAAUCUCAUCGUAUAAGAGAUGUAGCAAAGUGUUCACUAAGAGUGUUUAUCUUGCUAGACAUCAGAAGAUGAAUGGUAGAGCAACCUGAAGGAUUUAGAAAUUACAUGUAAAUCUGCAGUGGUGCUAUUUGUAAACAGGAUUCUAUAGGAGAGCAAAUAAACAUAAUUAAGUAUGCCUUUCUUAGAGCAGUAGCUUGCAGUUUCAGUUGAGUUCUACUUAGAAAUUCUUUUUAGCUAGUGGGCAUAUGAAGAUAUUUAGUCACCCAGAAGAGCCAGUAAAUUUUAUAAUGUUAAAAAUUAAAGCUGCAAAAGAAAUAAAAUGGUGUUAAUAAAAGUUUGGUAUCUAAUAAGAUCAUUUUGUAUAUCAUGAA